GGGCUGAGCAGCAGAGAGGCUGUUUCCUGCUUCACUUCUGCAGGAGGAAAACUCAUCUGCUGACUGUUUGACUUCAACAUCUCCAAAGACAUGUUGCUUUACCUCUGUUUACUCUUCUCUCUCUUCAUAGCCCUGGGCUCCAUGAACAGCAUAAAGCCAGAAAGAAGUGAAGAACAUGUUGCAGAGGGCAGAAACAUCAGCCUGACAUGUAAAUAUGAGGGGAGUAUCUCCAAUAUCCAGUGGUACCGACAAUACCAGAGAUCCAGACCAGAGUUCCUGCUCUACAUCACAGAGGCAGGAGGGAUCCAUCCCACUGAAUCUGAUUUCUCUGCUCACAUUGACAAAACAGAGAAACGAGUUGAUCUGGAGAUCAUCUCAGCUAAAGAGACAGACUCUGCUGUGUACUACUGUGCUCUGAGGCCCACAGUGACAGGAAACACCAACACUCUGUACAAAAACCUCUGGAGCAAAGACAACACAAUACUGAUCAACAUCCACCAGAGGGAGUCUCUCUCUGACAAACAUCAAUAGUUUGUGAUGAUACAGUAAUCUCAUUUACCUACUCGAUCAUUUGAAUUAUACUGUAUGUACAUUUCACUAUUAUGCAAAAACAUGUACUGCCUUUGAUUCACAUCCACAGGUGCAAAUGU